UACCUGGCUCAGGAUGAACGCUGGCGGCGUGCUUAACACAUGCAAGUCGAACGGGGCCACCAUUUUUGAAGCGAUUAGCUUGCUAAGAGUGGAAAUGUUGGCGGCUUAGUGGCGGACGGGUGAGUAACGCGUGGGUAACCUGCCUUGCACUGGGGGAUAACACUUAGAAAUAGGUGCUAAUACCGCAUAAGCGCACGGAGCUGCAUGGCUCAGUGUGAAAAACUCCGGUGGUGCAAGAUGGACCCGCGUCUGAUUAGCUUGUUGGCGGGGUAACGGCCCACCAAGGCGACGAUCAGUAGCCGGCCUGAGAGGGUGGACGGCCACAUUGGGACUGAGACACGGCCCAAACUCCUACGGGAGGCAGCAGUGGGGAAUAUUGGACAAUGGGGGGAACCCUGAUCCAGCGACGCCGCGUGAGUGAAGAAGUAUCUCGGUAUGUAAAGCUCUAUCAGCAGGGAAGAAAGAAAUGACGGCACCUGACCAAGAAGCCCCGGCUAACUACGUG
rnacentral:rRNA from 1 species